rnacentral:rRNA from 1 species
UGGGGAAUUUUGGACAAUGGGCGAAAGCCUGAUCCAGCAAUGCCGCGUGUGUGAAGAAGGCCUUCGGGUUGUAAAGCACUUUUGUCCGGAAAGAAAUCCUUGGCUCUAAUACAGUCGGGGGAUGACGGUACCGGAAGAAUAAGCACCGGCUAACUACAUGCCAGCGGCCGCGGUAAUACGUAGGAUGCAAGCGUUAAUCGGAAUUACUGGGCGUAAAGCGUGCGCAGGCGGUUUGCUAAGACCGAUGUGAAAUCCCCGGGCUCAACCUGGGAACUGCAUUGGUGACUGGCAGGCUAGAGUAUGGCAGAGGGGGGUAGAAUUCCACGUGUAGCAGUGAAAUGCGUAGAGAUGUGGAGGAAUACCGAUGGCGAAGGCAGCCCCCUGGGCCAAUACUGACGCUCAUGCACGAAAGCGUGGGGAGCAAACAGGAUUAGAUACCCUGGUAGUCCACGCCCUAAACGAUGUCAACUAGUUGUUGGGGAUUCAUUUCCUUAGUAACGUAGCUAACGCGUGAAGUUGACCGCCUGGGGGAGUACGGUCGCAAGAUUAAAACUCAAAUGAAUUGACGGGGUCAUAGCUGUUUCCU